CUCUCUCUCGCCGACAGGUGGACCCAUGUCAGCGUUCGCUCGCACUCGCUUCGCGCUUGCGUCCCACCAAAAUCCAACUAACCACGUAUCUCAGCGCCUGCCGCUGCCGCCUCUACAUCUAGGGUUUUCUCACCAUACGCUUCAUCGCCGUCGCAUGGGUUUCCUCACCAUACGCUUCGCCGACGGCGGCCUUGCAUGGCACCGGAGAGGGCGGCCCCUGCGCGGACGCGGACCACGGCCUUAGCCCCGAUGGCGGCGCGCUGCCCCCCCGACCACCCGGCGCGAGCGGGUGCGGCGCGGCCCCCACCCGACGGCGCGGGCGAGGCACGCGGGCCUCCCGGCGGCGCGGACGCGACCCCUGGCCACAGCGGCGGCGGGCGCGACCCCUGGCCCCGGCGUCGGCGGGCGCGCUCUCCUCUCCAAAUCUCGCCGUCUGCGCGCGUCCAAAUCGAGGAAUCCGCGCCCCAAAUUGAGGAAUCCGCCUCCGCUAUGGAAGGAGAUCGCCUCCGCUGCGCCCCGACUCUCGGUCGUCAUCAUCGUCCGUGUCCGCUGUGCCCUGGCUCUCGGUCCUUCGCGCGCGCGCCCUUCAUCGACCUCUCUGCCUUCUCCCACCUCGAGGCCCACACCCACGUCGGUGGCGAUGCCCACAGACACGCCCACCAAGAAACGCCCUAUGCGCUAUGCGCCAAGAAACAUGCUUCCCUCGACGACGACCGAGAAGACCCGGCGAGCCCCCGCUUGGCACCUUCAUCUUCGUGAUGAUGUUGUCCUUCAGGCUGAAGUGCCACACAUGUUCGUUUAGCGUAGGUGCUACUUGGUUUUUGGCGGUGCAUGCCGGGUGUUCAACUUAAUGUUUCCAAGGUUCUGUGGCAGUGCUAGGCAUUUUGGGAGGUGGUGAGCGCCUCGCUUGGCACCUUCAUUUUCGUGAUGAUGCUGUCCUUCAGGCUGCAGUGCCACAUAGGUUCGUUUGGCGUAGGUGCUGCUUGGUUUUUGGCGGUGCAUGUCGGGUGUUCAACAAUGUUUCCGAGGUUUUGUGGCAGUGCGAGGCAUUUUGGGAGGGACAUCAUCAUGCCCAACUUGAAGUCGUCCGUGACCACAACAGCGAGCGCGGUGGAGCACAGGGAUGAAGUAUUGAAGGCGCUGCCACCAGGUAGUACCUUCUUCCCACUCAUGACACUACCUCAUAGACAACGCAAGUCUAGAUGAGAUCAGGCUCGCAAGUAUGACCUACCUGUUGCCAUUUUUUGUUAAUCUUUUGAACUGAAGCAUCGUGUUUACCUAGCUGUAAGCCGACAUGUAGUCUGUAGAUCAGCUGUGAGUGUCGUGGUCGUGGUGUUUUCUGUACAUCCAUCUGCUCUGAAGUAUAAAGUAUAAUCCAAUAUGAUGGACGUUGCCGCGUGGGUUGGCCAUGGGAUAUAUUCCCCAUUCCUCUCCUGUCCACACCGCAGGUCGGUAGCCUUGAGGAGGCAACUAAAGCUAAAGAAGCCGGUGUAGAUGGGAUCAUUGUUCAGGGACGUGAGGCAGGGGGUCAUGUAAUUGGUCAGGAAGGACUGUUUCCAGCGAGAAUGACCUCAAGAAGUAUGACAAGAAGAACAACAGGUUACAGGUGGAUCACCCUUGGAAAACUGCCUGAUCGGUCUGUGUCAGUGAAUGGUUGGGGCCUUGCUUUCCGGUCCUGCGGUGACUGUGUACUUAGGUAAUUUAUCUUCUCCCACUUGCCAUUACUAUGUCAAUGUAAUUUGCACUGUUUAUUAUUUCGAUAGGAAUGAAAAAAAUCUUAGUUUUAUAUGGGCUUCUUCUAGAUUUUUUUCUUAAUUAAUAUAGCAUUUUUAUUCUCAAUUCACUCAACUAUUCAACAAAGUAAAUAAGUCUUGAGUGAUCAAUAAUGAUCUUUUCUUAGAUACCUGGUCGACCUAAUUUUAGGACUAUUAUGUCAACACUGAUUACCAGUGUAGGAAUCUUAAUUAUAAUUUAUAGCUGAUUACCAGUGUAGGAAUCUUAAUCUGUGCUUGGCAGGCAAAAGCCAAGCCAUGCUACCCUGUGCUUAUCUACUGUGGUGUUGUCCUUGCUCAAAUCCAUGCUAGAUGGGAUCCAUGUGGGCAUUAUGGAUGGCCAAAAUCCACUCCUCACAAGCGGACCCUUCCAUACUUGGCACUCUUCCUUUAUCACCCCACUACCAUCCCCUUCCAUAUGCGACGAGGACGAUCUGGGAAGCCCACCAUCUACUCCCCCUUCCACAAGUCGAGAGCUUCCUAUUUAUUAAUCCAAAGGGUGAACAUAGGCAAGGCCGCCACCCCAGUUUCAUCCUCCUCUCGUUGAGUUGAAUUUGCAAAUUGUUUUGUCAAGGUAACCCUACACGUGGACAGAAUCACCACACUAUUACCACUGUUUUGUCAAGGAUAUAACUCGACGCGAGGAUAGUGAAAGGGUCUAUGACUGCAUGGCAGUGCGUGGGACUCCUCAUCCAACCCUGCAUCCUGGCCCGUUGCUCACUUCAUCUUGCCGAGGUUUUUCUGAUGUCAGACUGCUAAUAGAUCUUUGGUUAGCUCAUUGUUAUCUUCAAAUCAAAACUGUUGUGAUUGUCUUACGUUCAUGUGCCUACUUUGUACUGGAACAUUGUAUGUUCCUACUUUGUCUACUUUUGUGAAGGACAUUUCUUUAAGGUUUCCUACAUAUAUUUUCUACAUGCUUUACUAAAAACUCACAAAUUUGUCUCGGGAACUUCAUACUGAAACAUUGUAUGUUCCUAAAUUGUCUACUUUUAGAACAAGAAUGCUAGAUUUGAUAUGUCCUUCCUCAUGUCCUAAACCUUACUUGGAGCUACUGGGAUAGAAGGGUCGAUGUUAGAUGUGGUUAAGUGCAGUGCGUUGGAAUAAUGUUUUGCUUGUAACCUUUUGAACUCGGGCCAGGAUGGUUUAGUUUUAGCUCUAAACUCCAAUUUAGUUUCCUCUGCAUUGGCUUUACGUAUGUUCUCUGAAACUUCUCAGGUUUAGAUAGUGAUCUACUUCAUGCUCAAGGUCUCCAUGGAAAUCCUACUCUCGAAGUCGAGUGUCGUGACCACGUUCUAUUUUAAGUGAACAACUAGCAUCGUGGCAAUCUUUCUGGCAGUUCUUGGCCUGACGGUUCUUCCGGUCAAUGUCAUCAUUUGGAGCUACAUCACCAACUUGUUCUAGGACAGGUAUGUGCAUGAUGUUUGCUAUUCGCUUACUAUGAAAGCCAGACCGGAGAGACCAUCAACCCAACCGCAUUUUGCUAAUCCUGCACUCGUGGAUGCCUGAUGUUAAUCUCUACUACUCUUAAGACAUUACUGUAGGCGUCCAUAACAGUUGGUGCACGGUUCUGCCUGCCGAGGAUCCCCACCCUCCUCCCCACGCCGAUCCGCCCCACCCUCCUCCCCACCAUCGAUGGAACCUUCCAUCAACGCCCUCCUCUGCUCCGCCAUCAACGCUCGUCUCCCAAUAGCGGAAGGUGGCCGAGGAUCCGCGCCAUCAACGCUCGCCAUCGGACCCGUACGCGAUAUCAGCACCGCCAUCAUGGAAGGUUGCCGAGGCCGCCAUCAACGCCAUCCUCCCCACGCCGUCGAUGGCGCGCGCAGGCAAAACCGUGCACCUCCUCCCCACGCCGAAUCUCCUUCCGCCAUCAACGCGCUCCUCCAUCAACGCGCGUUAACGGAGCCUCGGCCACUUUCCCACACCGAAUCUCCUUCCGCCAUCAACGCGCUCCUCCAUCCCCUUCCAUUCUUGCAUCGACCUCGGCAACCUCUGUCCACUUACGACUACAAAUGGGGAGGCCUACAGUUGAUCCCCACAUCUCUCCCCCAAGACACAGAUUCAAUCAUUGAUCCCCAGGCCGCAGAUUCAACCAAGGUGCGUAAACUGCUUGUUAGGGUUUCUAGAAAUCAAGCUUUUACCACGAAUUUUUUGCUCUAUAUAAGCUUUUACCAUGUUGCAGAAGUGCCCACUUCAUUCAGCUGUAUGUCUACGGGGUGGCUUAAAUAAAGUGUGUGCUUUUAAACUUGCCCUGUACUGUUGAUUUAAGUUUUAAGUUCAAGUAACUUGAGCUCGAGGUGAGAUACCUUUGGGACAUGGAAUGAAGCUCAGUGUCUCUUACUCUCUUUGAACAUUUUUGUGCUAUGGUUUCAUUCUGCACCAAAAAUAAAAAUAUUAGAAUCAUUGCAUUCUUGCUGCCAUAGUUAUGAUUUGUUGGAAUAGUUUUAAGUAUGACUUCUAGGCUCUAGCUGUGAGAAUGAUGUUUCUGAAGUGAGUUCAUUUUUCGGUGCAGAUUGUUGCAAUAAGGGAUAUCAUACCUCCUGCGCAGAGGGCUGCAUUCAAUGAUGUGUAUAUUGCAUACGGAUUGAUGGAUACUGAUCUGCAUCAAAUUAUUCGUUCAAAUCAAGCUUUGUCAGAGGAGCACUGUGAGGUACUUGUUUCGUUCAAUCUAAGGAAUGCACUAUUACUGUCGUGCUUUCACUGUACUACAAGUAGGUAAUAAUACUGAAACCCAUACAUGCUUAUAUGAAAUAGAUCAAGGGUCAUUUUAUUUGUGAUCUCAAGAGAAUAUUUUGUAGCCCAUUCGGAGAUAGCAUAAUAUGCAGCACAUUAUACAAUUAACUAGAGAAGGACAGGCCUGGCCUGGUGCAUUGGUGACUGGUGAGUCGAGGGUUCGAAGCAGCCUCUCUGCAUUUGUGGAGGGAAGGCUUGCCUUGGUCAAUCCCUUCCCAACCCCACUCGUAUGGGAGCCUUCGACACCGAGUCUACCCUUUUAAUUAUACAAUUAACUACCUGUUAAACAAAUGUGUUAAAGCUAAUAAUUGUUGGAAGAUGGCAUAUCCAUGUCUUAUGCUUGUAAGUUACAGAUGCAUUGGUGUUGUUAACAUGAUAUGAAAUUAUGAACCCUUGAGCACAAGUGUAUUUCUGAUGCCCUUGUAUUAUGAUUUUGUUUCUUGCUUAUUGUGACUCUUGUUUCAUACUAGCGAAGUCUUCCUUAUUUGACACUAUAUACAUGUGCCUUUUUGCCAAUCAUAUCCAUGUGACGUCCUUGCAUGGAAAAGGGUUGGGGCUGUGCCUGAGAACUCAUGCUGUGUCCUUCCUAGCUUUUUUUAACAUAUUUUCUUGAUAAGCUAUAGCUGAGUGAAAAAUUAGAUAAUAGAAUAAUAUAGUGAUUUAACGCUCUUCCAAACACUGACAAUCUCAUCAAGCAACUCCUGUGCUGCCUUCAGAUACUUGAGUUUCGGAUAAUCUUUUAGAGUAGACUGUAAAGGACGGAUAUAGAAGAUAGAUAUAGAGGACGUUGUUGGAGUGAGUAGAGGACGUUCUGAUCCUCUAAAUUUAGGGUACAGAACCUUUUAGAGUUCCUUGUUGGAGCUAGUCUAAGUUCUACAAGCUAAGGCUGUCUCCAGCAGCGUCCCCUAAAUUUCGUCCCCUAAAGGAAUAUUCCCUGUACUUUACAGGACACUCUAAAAGAUUCUGUCCUCUAUAUCUUCUGUGUCUCCAGCAACGUCCCCUAAAUUCGAUCCCCUAAAGCUACAGUGUUAACAGAAUUCGUUUUUUCUUUUCUUUUUCUGUUUUCUUUGUUUUGUACCCAUUUAAUGGUACUGAAAGGAUGCUAAAAAAUUUGUAAUCAAUAAUAUUACAAAUAAUACUCUAAAAACUAUGGUUCAUUAAUAAUUUCGAAAUGUACAAAAUAAAUAACAUUGCAAUUUAUGUUCUGUGCAAUUAUUGUGGAAAAAACGUGACACCAUAUUUGUAUCGUACGAAAAAAUGUUUACGAAUUCACAUGCUUGCACCGUAAGCCACGACACUUCUUCAACAAGCCAUUGUCUAGCUUCGGCUGCACGACAAGCGCAUGGCUUCUCUCCGAAGCCUAUCCCUUCUAUAAAUAAUCACUACUUCAACACUUCACUCACACUUCGCAUACACUCAUCCACAACAAUGGACCGGUUCGUAGAUUCCAAUAUUUUUCUUAGGAUGGCACAAGACAUGGAAGAUGAAGACCAUGAGCUCGAGGUUGCGACGUACCAACAUCGUAGGCGUCGUGCUCUUAACGAGCGUCGGUACGCUGGUUCCAUUCCCGGUCGUGUUCGAAUCCAUCGUGACCAUAUCAGUGGUGAUGCAAGAAUCCGAGCCGACUACUUUUGCGCCCAACCGGUUUACACGGAUGCACAAUUUCGGAGGAGGUUUCGCAUGCGUCGCCAUGUGUUUGAGCGUCUCGUUCUUGAUGUGCAACAAGUGGAUCCGUACUUCGUUCAACGUCCAAACUGUGCCGGUGAGCUAGGCCUAUCUGCCCUUCAGAAAGUUGUUGUUGCCGUACGUAUCCUUGCAUACGGUGUUCCUGCGGAUGCCGUUGACGAGUACGUACGAAUUGGAGAAUCUACAGCACAUGAGGCUUUGAAACACUUUUGCACUGCCAUACAAACUGCUUUUGGGGGGGUACUAUCUUAGGAAACCUACUCCUGCUGAUAUCGCUAGGCUUCUCCAAGUUGGAGAAUCACGCGGCUUCCCUGGUAUGCUUGGUAGUGUCGAUUGCAUGCAUUGGGAGUGGCGUAACUGCCCAACUGCAUGGAAGGGGAUGUUUACCGGUCGCGGUAAACACCCUACAAUGAUCCUCGAAGCUGUUGCCUCAUAUGACUUAUGGAUUUGGCAUGCAUACUUCGGCAUGCCCAGUAGCUGUAACGACAUCAAUGUUCUUCAGCGUUCAAACCUGUUCGAUUCACAUCUUAAUGGUGAUAGUCCACCAGUGAGUUUCUCCGUCAAUGGACACACCUACAACAUGGGAUAUUACCUAGCAGAUGGUAUUUAUCCGGACUGGCCAGCGUUUGUGAAGACAAUCCGUCAUCCGUAUGAUGUGAGGACCCAACAUUUUGCCACAGUUCAAGAGUCUGCUAGAAAAGACAUUGAACGAACAUUUGGAGUACUACAGAAGCGAUGGGCCAUAAUUCGUGGUCCUGCAUAUGGUUGGUCUCCACAACACAUUGGAGAUAUCAUGAAAACAUGCAUCAUAUUGCACAACAUGAUCGUAGAAGAUGAAGGACCUUCGUCUUUGAACACAAGCUUCGACAACAUCGGAGUUUUGGCGGA